ensembl:lincRNA
CCCAGGCUGACUGGAUGAACAAAGGCCAUCAUGAAACAACAGGUGGAAAUACCACAGAAUGGAACAGACGUGGGUCUCCAAGUCAAAGUUUAAAGGAGUCAAGUGACCUAUGAUGCCAACAAAGGAUAAACCUUUGCUCCUUAAAGCGACUCAGUGCCUGCGAUGGGGACACACAGCAGGUCUGCAUGCAACCUUAAAGACUGUCAGGAUGGGGGUACAAAUUACUGCCCAGAUGGAAAUCUCUGGUCUGUCGGUGCAACAAAGAUCACUCUUGGACUGAAUGAAUGAUACAUGUUCACAUUCCAACAGUUCCUGUCAUUGCACAACCCCUGAUCAUAAAGUGAUUAGGGAGAGGCUGGAUGGAAAGAUCAUCAGCUGCCCAGUGGCCCUGCCUGUGUGCUGUCCAGGCAUCAAUUUCCUCCUGCAUCUUGGCCUGACUGCCCCUUUGGCUGCCAGGACUUCCUUGGCCUGGAGCCAAAGUCCGCUACUCACCAGUCCACCCCAUGUGACUUCUAAGCCACUGGGUCACACUGCACCAGCCACACCCACCUGGAGGGGAAAGCCGGCCCACCUGUGCAAGACAGGAUUCUUCACCUUUCCAUACAGUGGACGUUUGACUUACAAACUCAAUUCAUUCUCCAAGGCUGGUUGUAACUCAAGUUGGUCAGUUGAAGGCUCAGGCUCCUCUACACAGCCUUCAAGAGUGUCUCUCCUGUACACAGGCAGAUCUCAGUGUCCUUAGAGAGAAACUGGCCCAGGAUUUCUCAAGCCCACACAGGAGAGGAUGUUGUAAUGUUCCUUCCAGAGCUUUUUAAGGGUUAAAUCUGAGACCAUCUGGAAGCACAAGCAGCUGGCAUUCGGGUGAUAGAUAACUCAAGACUUUGUUCAUAAGUUAAAACUAAAAUUCUGGUCAUAACCCAAGUUGUUUGUAUGUCGUUAACUCAAGACUUUGUUCAUAAGUUAAAACUAAAAUUCUGGUCAUAACCCAAGUUGUUUGUAUGUCAGGCCAUUUGUAACUUGAGGGUCCACUGUACCUGCAAUUGCAGGAGCAGGCCUGAUGCCUCUGUGGGUCUUACACUCCAUACACACACACACACACACACACACACACAUGCACACACCCCACAUUUCCUUUGCUUCCAGCAGGGUUUUUUUUUUAAGCUAAUUGUGUCAUGUCUACAGAGGAGGAGGAGGAGAGUAUCAUUUCAAGAGCAUUUUAAUAGAUCUACCACCUUUUUUGCUAUUGUUUAUCUUUUGCAAAUGGAAAGGGGACCAGGAGAUGAAUUGAGAGGGGGGUUGGGAACAUUAAAAGAAUGAUUAGGAUGUGUUACCGUAUGUACAUGUAUCAACUCCCCACGACCAAUGGAAUCAUUAUGUACUGCAAACGUGUACUAAUAAAAAUUAAAAUUAACAAAACAAAACAAACAAGCAAACUGACUUCCCACGUAACCACCAACCAAGUUAAGAAACAUCAGCAACAGUUAGAAGGCCCCUGAGGGGCUGCUUGUUAUAGAAGACAGGCCCUGCAGUGUCCCGGGGAGCUGGCUCCAAAGGAUGCUUCCUUCCUCUUGGGCUGACUUCCUUUCCCUCCCUCGUACUCUGCUUUCGCUUGGGUUCACGGCCUGAGCCAGAAUGAUGAAGUUGUUUGAGCACCGGACAGGAGGCUGGGCUUGGAAGCACCCCUCCCCCUAUCUUGACCAUUUUUGCCUUGAAGCUGGAAGAAUGUUUUUUUUUCCCUCCAAGUGAGUUAUUUUCCAAGAAACUCCUGGGUCUUCCACACAAAAGAUGAAGUCCUUUG